GCCUGGUGUGGUGGCCCACGCCAGUAAUCCCAAAGACUCAGGAGGCUGAGACAGGAGGAUCACAAGUUCAAGACCAGCCUGGGCAACUUAGACCCUGUUUCAA
rnacentral:sRNA from 1 species